GCCGCCAUAGCUCAGCUGGUAGAGCAUCUGAUUUGUAAUCAGAGGAAUCCGGCGCGUUUUCAAUUGCUUGCGUGUA
rnacentral:tRNA from 1 species